GUAGCCUAGCCCAUAGGCCUAUAUGUUUUAAUAAGGUUAGUAUCACACCUCAUGUAGUCCAGCCCAUAGGCCUAUAUGUUUUAAUAAGGUUAGUAUCACACCUCAUGUAGUCCAGCCCAUAGGCCUAUAUGUUUUAAUAAGGUUAGUAUCACACCUCAUGUAGUCCAGCCCAUAGGCCUAUAUGUUUUAAUAAGGUUAGUAUCACACCUCAUGUAGUCCAGCCCAUAGGCCUAUAUGUUUUAAUAAGGUUAGUAUCACACCUCAUGUAGUCCAGCCCAUAGGCCUAUAUGUUUUAAUAAGGUUAGUAUCACACCUCAUGUAGUCCAGCCCAUAGGCCUAUAUGUUUUAAUAAGGUUAGUAUCACACCUCAUGUAGUCCAGCCCAUAGGCCUAUAUGUUUUAAUAAGGUUAGUAUCACACCUCAUGUAGUCCAGCCCAUAGGCCUAUAUGUUUUAAUAAGGUUAGUAUCACACCUCAUGUAGUCCAGCCCAUAGGCCUAUAUGUUUUAAUAAGGUUAGUAUCACACCUCAUGUAGUCCAGCCCAUAGGCCUAUAUGUUUUAAUAAGGUUAGUAUCACACCUCAUGUAGCCUAGCCCAUAGGCCUAUAUGUUUUAAUAAGGUUAGUAUCACACCUCAUGUAGUCCAGCCCAUAGGCCUAUAUGUUUUAAUAAGGUUAGUAUCACACCUCAUGUAGUCCAGCCCAUAGGCCUAUAUGUUUUAAUAAGGUUAGUAUCACACCUCAUGUAGUCCAGCCCAUAGGCCUAUAUGUUUUAAUAAGGUUAGUAUCACACCUCAUGUAGCCUAGCCCAUAGGCCUAUAUGUUUUAAUAAGGUUAGUAUCACACCUCAUGUAG